rnacentral:lncRNA from 1 species
GAAAAUGCAAUUAUGUAGUUUGCAGUUAUAUGGUUUUGCAUACCUGUAUCUAUUUGUGUAAUACAUUUGCCUGUAUAUAUGCAACUUAUAUCCAUCAUUCUUCAUGUCUGCAGAUGACUGCAUCUUCAUGUAUGAAGGGCUACCUAUUCAUGUUUUCUUCAUUUAUGUAGGUAUGCAUAUGACUGAAGAUGACUAAACAGGACAUUCUUCAGUUAUACAGGUAUGCAGGUUUUGUUUAACUAUUUUCGGAUAUUCAAAUUAUAUAUAGCCAUUUUUCUUAUUUUUUUGGUCCUUUGUGUCAGAAAGGAGUUCCGGCCUAUACUGCUCCACAACCAGAAGAGGCAAUGACUGCUCUCAAACAAAGAGCUUCGGAGUUGGGUGUAUGUCUUUUGGGGUUGUUUCUAUUAGAUAUGAUACUUAAUGCAGUGUUGGUUUAUGAAGAUCUCUCUCCAAGUCGUUGGUCCUCUGGAGCCCCAUCACCUAAAAGGUCAACAUCUUGGGCUCCAUGGAUAUCGGCAAGUUUGUGCCACAAAAAGCUUGUUUACGAUGGCGUAGAAGGCCAGUACACAAUCUUUGUUUUUUUGAUUAUGUGUAUUUAGUAAAUUGUCGAGA